rnacentral:rRNA from 1 species
UACGUAGGGGGCAAGCGUUGUUCGGAAUUACUGGGCGUAAAGGGCGCGUAGGCGGCAUGGCAAGUCGGGAGUGAAAGGCCUGGGCUCAACCGAGGAACUGCUUUCGAGACUGCCAAGCUAGAGUGCGGAAGGUGCAUCUGGAAUUCCCAGUGUAGCGGUGAAAUGCGUAGAUAUUGGGAAGAACACCUGAGGCGAAGGCGGGAUGCUGGGCCGACACUGACGCUGAGGCGCGAAAGCCAGGGGAGCAAACAGG